AAAAAAAAAAGCCUAAAAUGUAUCGCCACCACCCUUUCUGAUGUGAACAGUUUGUAGUCUCUUUUUAUGAGCAGAUCGAGGUCUGCUUGCUGUUGUGUGUUUGACCUCAAAUCAGGCAGGACUACCCGCUGAACUUAAGCAUAUCAAUAAGCGGAGGAAAAGAAACUAACAAGGAUUCCCUUAGUAACUGCGAGUGAAGCGGGAAAAGCUCAAAUUUAAAAUCUGGCGGUCCUUGUGGCCGUCCGAGUUGUAAUCUAGAGAAGUGCUGUCCGCACUGGACCCAUGUACAAGUCUCCUGGAACGGAGCGUCGUAGAGGGUGAGAAUCCCGUCUUUGACAUGGACUUUGCCAGGGCUUCUGUGACGUGCUCUCAAAGAGUCGAGUUGUUUGGGAAUGCAGCUCUAAAUGGGUGGUAAAUUCCAUCUAAAGCUAAAUAUUGGCGAGAGACCGAUAGCGAACAAGUACCGUGAGGGAAAGAUGAAAAGGACUUUGGAAAGAGAGUUAAACAGUACGUGAAAUUGUUGAAAGGGAAACGCUUGAAGUCAGCCACGUUGGCCAGGAAAUCAACCUUGCAAUUUGCUUGGGGCAUUUUUCUGGUUCUUCAACGGGUCAGCAUCAGUUGCGAUCGGCGGAAAAAGUUCAGGGAAAUGUGGCAUCUUCGGGUGUGUUUUAUAGACCCUGUUCACAUACGUCGGUUGGAACUGAGGAAGUCAGCACGCCGCAAGGCCGGGACACAUUCUUUGUGAACCACGUUCGUGCUCA
rnacentral:rRNA from 1 species